CCUACGGGUGGCAGCAGUGAGGAAUAUUGGUCAAUGGACGAGAGUCUGAACCAGCCAAGCAGCGUGAAGGAUGACUGCCCUAUGGGUUGUAAACUUCUUUUAUAUGGGAAUAAAACGUUCCACGUGUGGGAUUUUGUAUGUAUCAUAUGAAUAAGGAUCGGCUAACUCCGUGCCAGCAGCCGCGGUAAUACGGAGGAUCCGAGCGUUAUCCGGCUUUAUUGGGUGUAAAGGGUGCGUAGGGGGUUUGUUGAGUCAGUGGUGAAAGUCUGGGGCUCAACCUUAAAAUUGCUGUUGAAACUGGCAGUCGUGAGUACAGGAGAGGUAGGCGGAAUUCGUGGUGUAGCGGUGAAAUGCGUAGAUAGCAGGAAGAACUCCGAUGGCGAAGGCAGUUGACUGGACUGCAACUGACGCUGAGGCUCGAAAGUGUGGGUAUCAAACAGGAUUAGAUACCCGGGUAGUC
rnacentral:rRNA from 1 species